GAAGAAAGAGGGAGGCGUGCUUAACACAUGCAAGUCGAACGGAAAGGCCCUGCUUUUGUGGGGUGCUCGAGUGGCGAACGGGUGAGUAUCACGUGAGUAACCUGCCCUUGUCUGUGGGAUAACUUCAGGAAAAUGGGGCUAAUACCGGAUAGGAGCUCCUGAUGCAUGGGGGGGGUUGGUAAGAUUCGGCGGUUGGGGAUGGACGCGCGGCUUAUCAGCUUGUUGGUGGGGUAGUGGCUUACCAAGGCUUUGACGGGUAGCCGGCCUGAGAGGGUGACCGGGCACAUUGGGACUGAGAUACGGCCCAGACUGCAACGGGAGGCAGCAGUGGGGAAUAUUGCACAAUGGGCGGAAGCCUGAUGCAGCGACGCCGCGUGCGGGAUGACGGCCUUCGGGGUGUAAACCGCUUUCGCCUGUGACGAAGCGUGAGUGACGGUAAUGGGUAAAGAAGCACCGGCUAACUACGUG
rnacentral:rRNA from 1 species